UACGUAGGGUGCAAGCGUUGUCCGGAAUCAUUGGGCGUAAAGCGCGCGUAGGCGGCCCGAUAAGUCCGCUGUAAAAGUCAACGGCUCAACUGUUGAAUGCCGGUGGAUACUGUCGGGCUAGAGUACGGAAGAGGCAAGUGGAAUUCCUGGUGUAGCGGUGGAAUGCGCAGAUAUCAGGAGGAACACCGAUAGCGAAGGCGGCUUGCUGGGACGUUACUGACGCUAAGGCGCGAAAGCGUGGGGAGCGAACAGG
rnacentral:rRNA from 1 species